GCAGCGCAGCUAUACAUGCAGUCGAGCGGACAGAUGGGAGCUUGCUCCCUGAUGUUAGCGGCGGACGGGUGAGUAACACGUGGGUAACCUGCCUGUAAGACUGGGAUAACUCCGGGAAACCGGGGCUAAUACCGGAUGGUUGUUUGAACCGCAUGGUUCAAACAUAAAAGGUGGCUUCGGCUGCCACUUACAGAUGGACCCGCGGCGCAUUAGCUAGUUGGUGAGGUAACGGCUCACCAAGGCGACGAUGCGUAGCCGACCUGAGAGGGUGAUCGGCCACACUGGGACUGAGACACGGCCCAGACUCCUACGGGAGGCAGCAGUAGGGAAUCUUCCGCAAUGGACGAAAGUCUGACGGAGCAACGCCGCGUGAGUGAUGAAGGUUUUCGGAUCGUAAAGCUCUGUUGUUAGGGAAGAACAAGUACCGUUCGAAUAGGGCGGUACCUUGACGGUGCCUAACCCAAAAGCCACGGUUAAUUACUUGCCACCAGCCGCGGUAAUACGUAGGUGGCAAGCGUUGUCCGGAAUUAUUGGGCGUAAAGGGCUCGCAGGCGGUUUCUUAAGUCUGAUGUGAAAGCCCCCGGCUCACCCGGGGAGGGUCAUUGGAAACUGGGGAACUUGAGUGCAGAAAGAGGAGAGUGAAAUUCCACGUGUAGCGGUGAAAUGCGUAGAGAUGUGGAGGAACCCCGGUGGCGAAGGCGACUCUCUGGUCUGUAACUGACGCUGAGGAGCGAAAUCGUGGGGAGCAAAACAGGAUUAGAUACCCUGGGUAGUCCACGCCGUAAACAAUAAGUGCUAAGUGUAAGAGGGGUUUCCGCCCUUUAGUGCUGCAGCAUACGCAUUAAGCAUCUCCGCCUGGGGGAGUACGGCGCAGAACUGAACCUCAAAGAAAUUGACGGGGGCCCGCCACACGCGGUGGACCAUGUGUUUAUUCGAAACCACCCGAAAACCCUUACCAAGCUCUGACUCCCUCUGACACCCUAGAGAAAAGACUGUUCUCUCUCCUGACGAACGGACUAGUCGGUCAUGAUGUCUCAUCUCUCGUCACGGAAGAAUGUGUAUAAUCGU
rnacentral:rRNA from 1 species